GCCACAGGAUGGGGCCGCGGCUGAUUAGGUCGUUGGUGAGGUAAUGGCUCACCAAGCCUAUAAUCAGUAGUAGACGUGAGAGCGUUAGCUACCAGUCGUGUUCUGAGACAAGAACACGGACCCUACGGGGUGCAGCAGGCGCGAAACCUUUACAAUGCACGCAAGUGCGAUAAGGGGACUCCGAGUGUGGUCUUCCUACACGGAAGGCCACUUUUCUUUACUGUAAGGAGGUAUCGGAACAAGGGGUGGGCAAUACUGCUGCCAGCCGCCGCGGUAAUAGCAGAACCCCAAGUGGUAGCCACUUUUAUUGGGCUUAAAGUGUUCGUAGCCGGCCGUGUAAGUCUGCUGUGAAAUCCACGCGCUCAACGUGUGGAAGUGCAGCGGAUACUGCAUGGCUAGGAACCGGAUGGCGUCGAGGCUAUUCCAGGGGUAGGAGUGAAAUCCAAAAAUCCCUGGAGGAGCACCUGUGGCGAAAGCGCUCGACGAAUACGGAUUCGACGGUGAGGAACGAAAGCCAGGGGAGCAAAGGGGAUUAGAUACCCUCGUAGUCCUGGCCGUUAACUAUGUUCGUUUGAUGUCGGCUAACCUCCGUGGUUAGCCGGUGCCGAAGUAAAAACGUUAAACGAACCGCCUGGGUAGUACGGUCGCAAGGCUGAAACUUAAAGGAAUUGACGGGGGAACACCACAACCGGUGGGGGCUGCGGUUUAAUUAGAUCAAACGCAGCGCACCCUACCAGAGCCGACAGCAGAAUGACGGUCAGCUUGAAGAGCUUACCUGACGCGCUGAGAGGAGCUGCAUGGCCGCCGUCAGCUCGUGCUGUGAAGUGUCCGGUUAAGUCCGGUAACGAGCGAGACCCGCAUCACAUGCUGCCAUAGAUCCUUUCGAGGAUUUAGCACUCGUGUGAGACCGCUGGUGAUAAACCAGAGGAAGGAGCGGGCCACGGUAGGUCAGUAUGGCCCGAAUGCUCUGGGAUACACGCGGCC
rnacentral:rRNA from 1 species